GUCCUUUUGAUUAUUAUUUAAGGUCUGAUCUGCUCACUGAUGAAAUAUUUAAGAGCCGCGGUAAUUUGACCGUGCAAAGGUAGCGUGAUAAUUAGUUUUUUAAUUGAAAGCUGGAAUGAAUGAUUUAACGAGAAAAUAGCUGUCUCUUAUUAAUAAAUAAAAUUUUAUGUUUAAGUAAAAAAUCUUAGAUAAUUUCAAGGGACGAGAAGACCCUAUAGAGUUUUAUAUAUUGAUAUUAUCUAUUAAUUUAUGAAUUUAAAUUUAGUUAUUAUUAAUUUAUUUGAUUGGGGUGAUUAAAAGAUUAAAUAAACUCUUUAUUUAUUUUACAUUGAUUAUUGGAUUUUUGAUCUAUACAAAUAAUAGAAAGAUUAAAUUACCUUAGGGAUAACAGCGUAAUUCUUUAUUAAGUUCAUAUUAUUAUAAGGGAUUGCGACCUCGAUGUUGGAUUAAAAUUUAAAUUAGGUGUAGGUGCUUAAUAUUUAAGUCUGUUCGACUUUUAAAAUUUUACA
rnacentral:rRNA from 1 species